rnacentral:lncRNA from 1 species
GCUGUUGCUGGGAGUGGGAAAGAGGUGGCAUCGGCGGUUCAAGACUGAGUUUUCUAUCUCUUCAGUGCCUCUUUCAACAAUGAAGAUCAAACCAGGUUUUGUGCAAAUAUCUGCUGAGUGAACUACUUAUUUGAAAAUACAUCAUUGGUUAAUAUUCCCUUUUGCUCAUUGAAAUCUCAAAGACUACAGACCCCGCACAAGACAUUCUGACAUUCCCGUCUUUGAAAUGAAUGACAGCAAUGAUAAAUAUGGCUCACCUCCAGAGAUACAGAUCUCACAACUUCAUAUUUUUAAUAUAAAUUAUUAAUCUGAGAAGCAGAGAGAGAUAAGACCCAUGAUAAUCAAGCCAUAAACAGAUGCAUUUACUAGCUGAAUGGCCAACAAUGGAAUUCAACAAAUCCAUCUUGAGCACGGCAGCCAGGAGUGUGGUGCAAUUCCAUUAGAUGAAAGAGAUCUACACAUUCAGAAGCACAUGAUUCUUCCCCCUUCCAUGAUUCCAGUGGCCAAUAGACAAACUACAAUAAAGCCAUGCCCUGACUGGAUGUGCCUAACAUUUGUCUGGUGCUUAAAGGAGUUGGCUGCAUGCGUGGGAUGGAGAAGGAUUCAACAUUUAAUGGCAGUUAGAAUCAAAUUUUUAACUCAAGAAGGCAGAAGGAAUCCACCUAAAUAAAUGUUGGAAAGUCACCAAAAAUAGUUCUCCAAGUCAGAAGCGGUGCAAAAGCUGCCUCAGCUCUUGGUGGAUUUUCAAUUUCUCCCAGCCAUCUCUGUUUCGCUAAAGGUUUCUGAAGACAGUGGGGGAAGCUUUUUUCUCCUCCCCAUCCUGAUCACUAGUAUGAGAAGGGGUGCUAAUGGACCAGCCUUGGCCUUGCAGAUGAAGAUGAUGAAGGAAGAAGGUAAAAGGAAACUGUGUACCUGUGUGACCUCUGGUAGUUCAGGUGCCCUAUCCUGCGGGCCACCUGUUAGCUUAAACUUUUGUAUAAUUGAGAAAAUGAGGGUUUUCUCUUAAUUAAGGCACUGUUGUUUGUUGUUUACUAAGGCAACCAAAUAAAUCACCUAGCUAAUAAAGAA